rnacentral:rRNA from 1 species
AGCAGCCGCGGUAAUUCCAGCUCCAAUAGCGUAUAUUAAAGUUGUUGCAGUUAAAAAGCUCGUAGUUGAAUUUCGGGGUUCUGCCGUUGGUCGGGCUUUGUCUGUACUGGCGUGUAGAAUUUCUACCUUCUGGGGAACUAUCAUGUUAUUAAUUUAACGUAGUGGGAAACCAGGACCUUUACCUUGAAAAAUUAGAGUGUUCAAAGCAGGCUUAUGUCUGAAUACAUUAGCAUGGAAUAAUAAAAUAGGACGGUGGUCCUGUUUUGUUGGUUUCUGAAUCACCGUAAUGAUUAAUAGGGAUAGUUGGGGGCAUUAGUAUUCAAUUGUCAGAGGUGAAAUUCUUGGAUUUAUUGAAGACUAACUUCUGCGAAAGCAUUUGCCAAGGAUGUUUUCAUUAAUCAAGAACGAAAGUUAGGGGAUCGAAGACGAUCAGAUACCGUCGUAGUCUUAACCAUAAACUAUGCCGACUAGGGGUCGACGAUGUUAAUUUUUCUUGACUCGUUCGGCGCCUUACGGGAAC